AAUGAACGCUGGCGGCAGGCCUAACACAUGCAAGUCGAGCGAAGUCUUCGGACUUAGCGGCGGACGGGUGAGUAACGCGUGGAACAUUCCCCUUGGUUCCGAAUUGCCCCCGGAAAAUGGGGGUUAUUACGCCUGUUCCCUUUCGGGGGAAAGAUUUAUCGCCAAAGGAUUGGCCCGCGUUGGAUUAGGUAGUUGGUGGGGUAAUGGCCUACCAAGCCGACGAUCCAUAGCUGGUUUGAGAGGAUGAUCAGCCACACUGGGACUGAGACACGGCCCAGACUCCUACGGGAGGCAGCAGUGGGGAAUCUUAGACAAUGGGCGCAAGCCUGAUCUAGCCAUGCCGCGUGAUCGAUGAAGGCCUUAGGGUUGUAAAGAUCUUUCAGUGGGGAAGAUAAUGACGGUACCCACAGAAGAAGCCCCGGCUAACUCCGUG
rnacentral:rRNA from 1 species